rnacentral:rRNA from 1 species
UACGAAGGGGGCUAGCGUUGCUCGGAAUCACUGGGCGUAAAGGGCGCGUAGGCGGUCUGCUAAGCGUGUGGUGAAAGCUCGGGGCUCAACCCCGAGUCGGCCGUGCGAACUGGUGGACUGGAGCAUGUCAGAGGCAGGCGGAAUUCCGGGUGUAGCGGUGGAAUGCGUAGAGAGUCCGGAAGAACACCGGUGGCGAAGGCGGCCUGCUGGGACAUUGCUGACGCUGAGGCGCGACAGCGUGGGGAGCAA